rnacentral:rRNA from 1 species
UUUGGUUAAGUUAGAAAGGGCGCACGGUGGAUGCCUUGACACUAGGAGUCGAUGAAGGACGGGACUAACGCCGAUAUGCUUCGGGGAGCUGUAAGUAAGCUUUGAUCCGAAGAUUUCCGAAUGGGGAAACCCACCAUACGUAAUGGUAUGGUAUCCUUAUCUGAAUACAUAGGGUAAGGAAGACAGACCCAGGGAACUGAAACAUCUAAGUACCUGGAGGGAAGAGAAAGCAAAUGCGAAUUCCCUGAGUAGCGGCGAGCGAAACGGAACAUAGCCCAAACCAAGAGGCUUGCCUCUUGGGGUUGUAGGACAUUCUAUACGGAGUUACAAAGGAACGAGGUAGACGAAGCGACCUGGAAAGGUCCGUCGUAGAGGGUAACAACCCCGUAGUCGAAACUUCGUUCUCUCUUGAAUGUAUCCUGAGUACGGCGGAACACGUGAAAUUCCGUCGGAAUCUGGGAGGACCAUCUCCCAAGGCUAAAUACUCCCUAGUGAUCGAUAGUGAACCAGUACCGUGAGGGAAAGGUGAAAAGCACCCCGGAAGGGGAGUGAAAGAGAUCCUGAAACCGUGUGCCUACAAAUAGUCAGAGCCCGUUAACGGGUGAUGGCGUGCCUUUUGUAGAAUGAACCGGCGAGUUACGAUCCCGUGCGAGGUUAAGCUGAAGAGGCGGAGCCGCAGCGGAAGGCGAGUCUGAAUAGGGCGUUUAGUACGUGGCCGUAGACCCGAAACCAGGUGAUCUACCCAUGUCCAGGGUGAAGUUCAGGUAACACUGAAUGGAGGCCCGAACCCACGCACGUUGAAAAGUGCGGGGAUGAGGUGAGGGUAGCGGAGAAAUUCCAAUCGAACCUGGAGAUAGCUGGUUCUCCCCGAAAUAGCUUUAGGGCUAGCCUUAAGUGUAAGAGUCUUGGAGGUAGAGCACUGAUUGGACUAGGGGUCCUCAUCGGAUUACCGAAUUCAGUCAAACUCCGAAUGCCAAUGACUUAUCCUUAGGAGUCAGACUGCGAGUGAUAAGAUCCGUAGUCAAAAGGGAAACAGCCCAGACCGCCAGCUAAGGUCCCAAAGAGUGUGUAUUAAGUGGGAAAAGGAUGUGGAGUUGCUUAGACAACUAGGAGGUGUUGGCUUAGAAGCAGCCACCAUUUAAAGAGUGCGUAAUAGCUCACUAGUCGAGUGACUCUGCGCCGAAAAUGUACCGGGGCUAAAUACACCACCGAAGCUGCGGAUUGAUACCAAUGGUAUCAGUGGUAGGGGAGCGUUCUAAGGACAGUGAAGUCAGACCGGAAGGACUGGUGGAGUGCUUAGAAGUGAGAAUGCCGGUAUGAGUAGCGGAAGGACGGGUGAGAAUCCCGUCCACCGAAUGCCUAAGGUUUCCUGAGGAAGGCUCGUCCGCUCAGGGUUAGUCAGGACCUAAGCCGAGGCCGACAGGCGUAGGCGAUGGACAACAGGUUGAUAUUCCUGUACCACCUCUUUAUCGUUUGAGCAAUGGAGGGACGCAGAAGGAUAGAAGAAGCGUGCGAUUGGUUGUGCACGUCCAAGCAGUUAGGCUGAUAAGUAGGCAAAUCCGCUUAUCGUGAAGGCUGAGCUGUGAUGGGGAAGCUCCUUAUGGAGCGAAGUCUUUGAUUCCCCGCUGCCAAGAAAAGCUUCUAGCGAGAUAAAAGGUGCCUGUACCGCAAACCGACACAGGUAGGCGAGGAGAGAAUCCUAAGGUGUGCGAGAGAACUCUGGUUAAGGAACUCGGCAAAAUGACCCCGUAACUUCGGGAGAAGGGGUGCUUUCUUAACGGAAAGCCGCAGUGAAUAGGCCCAAGCGACUGUUUAGCAAAAACACAGCUCUCUGCGAAGCCGUAAGGCGAAGUAUAGGGGGUGACACCUGCCCGGUGCUGGGAGGGUUAAGGAGAGGGGUUAGCGUAAGCGAAGCUCUGAACUGAAGCCCCAGUAAACGGCGGCCGUAACUAUAACGGUCCUAAGGUAGCGAAAUUCCUUGUCGGGUAAGUUCCGACCCGCACGAAAGGUGUAACGAUUUGGGCACUGUCUCACCAGAGACUCGGUGAAAUUAUAGUACCUGUGAAGAUGCAGGUUACCCGCGACAGGACGGAAAGACCCCGUGGAGCUUUACUGUAGCCUGAUAUUGAAUUUUGGUACAGUUUGUACAGGAUAGGCGGGAGCCUUUGAAACCGGAGCGCUAGCUUCGGUGGUGGCGCUGGUGGGAUACCGCCCUGACUGUAUUGAAAUUCUAACCUACGGGUCUUAUCGACCCGGGAGACAGUGUCAGGUGGGCAGUUUGACUGGGGCGGUCGCCUCCUAAAGUGUAACGGAGGCGCCCCAAGGUUCCCUCAGAAUGGUUGGAAAUCAUUCGUAGAGUGCAAAGGCAUAAGGGAGCUUGACUGCGAGACCUACAAGUCGAGCAGGGACGAAAGUCGGGCUUAGUGAUCCGGUGGUUCCGCAUGGAAGGGCCAUCGCUCAACGGAUAAAAGCUACCCCGGGGAUCACAGGCUUAUCUCCCCCAAGAGUCCACAUCGACGGGGAGUUUUGGCACCUCGAUGUCGGCUCAUCGCAUCCUGGGGCUGUAGUCGGUCCCAAGGGUUGGGCUGUUCGCCCAUUAAAGCGGUACGCGAGCUGGGUUCAGAACGUCGUGAGACAGUUCGGUCCCUAUCCGUCGUGGGCGUAGGAAAUUUGAGAGGAGCUGUCCUUAGUACGAGAGGACCGGGAUGGACGCACCGCUGGUGUACCAGUUGUUCUGCCAAGGGCAUAGCUGGGUAGCUAUGUGCUGAAGGGAUAAGUGCUGAAAGCAUCUAAGCAUGAAGCCCCCCUCAAGAUGAGAUUUCCCAUAGCGUAAGCUAGUAAGAUCCCUGAAAGAUGAUCAGGUUGAUAGGUUCGAGGUGGAAGCAUGGUGACAUGUGGAGCUGACGAAUACUAAUAGAUCGAGGACUUAACCAUAUAA